rfam:Beta vulgaris subsp. vulgaris Bvchr3.sca006.con0148.1, whole genome shotgun sequence.
AUAUGUUUUGUUGAUGGUCCUCUAACCAUUAAUUAAGUCUUUUUCCAUAUGUUUGAGAAUAUUAGGAUAUGCUAGCACUUCUUGUGGUUAGAUGACCAUCAACAAACACAUU